GACGUAGGGGGCCAGCGUUGCUCGGAAUUACUGGGCGUAAAGGGUUCGUAGGCGGUGCGGCAAGUCGGGAGUGAAAUCUAUGGGCUCAACCCAUAGUCUGCAUCGGAAACUGUCGGGCUUGAGUAUGGGAGAGGUGAGUGGAAUUUCCGGUGUAGCGGUGAAAUGCGUAGAUAUCGGAAGGAACACCUGUGGCGAAAGCGGCUCACUGGACCACAACUGACGCUGAGGCGCGAAAGCUAGGGGAGCAAACAGG
rnacentral:rRNA from 1 species